rnacentral:rRNA from 1 species
GAACGGGUGAGUAACACGUGGGCAACCUGCCCAAAAGAGGGGGAUAACACUUGGAAACAGGUGCUAAUACCGCAUAACCAUAGUUACCGCAUGGUAGCUAUGUAAAAGGUGGCUAUGCUACCGCUUUUGGAUGGGCCCGCGGCGCAUUAGCUAGUUGGUGGGGUAAAGGCUUACCAAGGCAAUGAUGCGUAGCCGAACUGAGAGGUUGAUCGGCCACAUUGGGACUGAGACACGGCCCAAACUCCUACGGGAGGCAGCAGUAGGGAAUCUUCCACAAUGGGCGAAAGCCUGAUGGAGCAACGCCGCGUGGGUGAAGAAGGUCUUCGGAUCGUAAAACCCUGUUGUUAGAGAAGAAAGUGCGUGAGAGUAACUGUUCACGUUUCGACGGUAUCUAACCAGAAAGCCACGGCUAACUACGUGCCAGCAGCCGCGGUAAUACGUAGGUGGCAAGCGUUAUCCGGAUUUAUUGGGCGUAAAGGGAACGCAGGCGGUCUUUUAAGUCUGAUGUGAAAGCCUUCGGCUUAACCGGAGUAGUGCAUUGGAAACUGGGAGACUUGAGUGCAGAAGAGGAGAGUGGAACUCCAUGUGUAGCGGUGAAAUGCGUAGAUAUAUGGAAGAACACCAGUGGCGAAAGCGGCUCUCUGGUCUGUAACUGACGCUGAGGUUCGAAAGCGUGGGUAGCAAACAGGAUUAGAUACCCUGGUAGUCCACGCCGUAAACGAUGAAUGCUAAGUGUUGGAGGGUUUCCGCCCUUCAGUGCUG